CGAGCUGGCCGGGCGGCCGCGUCGGCGCGGUGAGUGAUCACGGCGCCGCCGAGGAAAGUCCGGACUCCGCAGGGCAGGGUGGUUGUUAACGGCAACCCGGGGCGACCCGCGGGACAGUGCCACAGAAAACAGACCGCCCCGGCGCGCGAGCGGCGGGGUAAGGGUGAAACGGUGGUGUAAGAGACCACCAGCACCCCGGGUGACCGGGGUGGCUCGGUAAACCCCACCCGGAGCAAGGCCAGACAGCAGGUGUUCGAGGGCGGCCCGCCCGAUGCCUGCGGGUAGGUUGCACAGAGCCCGUCGGUGACGGCGGGCCGAGAUGGAUGGCCGCCGAACGGAACGCCGCAAGGCGUCCGGGAACAGGAUCCGGCUUACAGGCCAGCUCGUCCG
rnacentral:RNase_P_RNA from 1 species